rnacentral:rRNA from 1 species
CCUACGGGGUGCAGCAGUAGGGCAUAUUGCUCAAUGGGGGAAACCCUGAAGCAGCAACGCCGCGUGGAGGAUGAAGGUUUUCGGAUUGUAAAAUCCUUUUGUUAGAGAAGAUAAUGACGGUAUCUAACGAAUAAGCACCGGCUAACUCCGUGCCAGCAGCCGCCGUAAUACGGAGGGUGCAAGCGUUACUCGGAAUCACUGGGCGUAAAGAGCGCGUAGGCGGGAUAGCAAGUCAGAUGUGAAAUCCUAUGGCUUAACCAUAGAACUGCAUUUGAGACUGUUAUUCUAGAGUAUGGGAGAGGGAGGUGGAAUUCUUGGUGUAGGGGUAAAAUGCGUAGAGAUCAAGAGGAAUACUCAUUGCGAAGGCGACCUGCUAGAACAUAACUGACGCUGAUGCGCGAAAGCGUGGGGAGCAAACAGGAUUAGAUACCCUAGUAGUC